rnacentral:rRNA from 1 species
GACGUAGGGCGCGAGCGUUGUCCGGAUUUAUUGGGCGUAAAGAGCUCGUAGGCGGCUUGUCGCGUCGACUGUGAAAUCCCGCGGCUCAACCGCGGGUCUGCAGUCGAUACGGGCAGGCUAGAGUUCGGUAGGGGAGACUGGAAUUCCUGGUGUAGCGGUGAAAUGCGCAGAUAUCAGGAGGAACACCUAUUGCGAAGGCAGCUCGCUGGGACGUAACUGACGCUGAGACGCGAAAGCGUGGGGAGCAAACAGG